AAUCAACGCUGGCGGCGUGCCUCAGACAUGCAAGUCGAACGCGAAAGUCCCCUUCGGGGGACAAGUAGAGUGGCGCACGGGUGAGUAACACGUAGGUAAUCUACCUUCGGAUGGGGAAUAACAACCGGAAACGGUUGCUAAUACCGCAUAAUGCAGCGGCACCUAAUGGUGACAGUUGUUAAAGCGGGGGAUCGAAAGACCUCGCGUCUGAAGAGGAGCCUGCGGCGGAUUAGCAGUUGGUAAGGUAGCGGCUUACCAAGGCGACGAUCCGUAGCCGGCCUGAGAGGGCGGUCGGCCACACUGACACUGACAUACGGGUCAGACUCCUACGGGAGGCAGCAGUCGGGAAUUUUGGGCAAUGGGCGAAAGCCUGACCCAGCAACGCCGCGUGAAGGAUGAAAU
rnacentral:rRNA from 1 species